UAGUGUCGAAGCUAACGCGUUAAGUGAUCCGCCUGGGGAAUACGAUCGCAAGAUUAAAACUCAAAGGAAUUGACGGGGGUCCGCACAAGCGGUGGAACAUGUGGUUUAAUUCGACAAUACGCGAGGAACCUUACCUAGGCUUGACAUGUAUAUGACUACCAUAGAAACAUGGGUCUCUGGAGCUUGCUUCAGACAUAUACACAGGUGCUGCAUGGCUGUCGUCAGCUCGUGUCGUGAGAUGUUGGGUUAAGUCCUUUAACGAGCGCAACCCUUGCCAUCAGUUGCUACUUCGUGAGAAGGCACUCUGGUGGGACUGCCUGGGAAACCAGGAGGAAGGUGGGGAUGACGUCAAGUCCGCAUGGUCCUUAUGCCUAGGGCUACACACGUGUUACAAUGGCCAGUACAAAGGGAAGCGAUACUGUAAGGUGGAGCAAACCCCAUAAAGCUGGUCUAAGUUCGGAUUGAGGUCUGCAACUCGACCUCAUGAAGUUGAAAUCGCUAGUAAUCGCGUAUCAGCAAUGACGCGGUGAAUACGUUCUCGGACCUUGUACACACCGCCCGUCACACCACGAAAGUUGUUUGUACCCGAAACUAUCUAAGCUAACUCGCAAGAGGGGCGGAUAGUGAAGGUGUGGAUGGCAAUUGGGGUGAAGUCGUAACAAGGUAACCAAGGGCGAA
rnacentral:rRNA from 1 species